rnacentral:rRNA from 1 species
UGGGGAAUAUUGCACAAUGGGCGCAAGCCUGAUGCAGCGACGCCGCGUGGGGGAUGACGGCCUUCGGGUUGUAAACUCCUUUCGCUAGGGACGAAGCUUUUUGUGACGGUACCUAGAUAAGAAGCACCGGCUAACUACGUGCCAGCAGCCGCGGUAAUACGUAGGGUGCGAGCGUUGUCCGGAAUUACUGGGCGUAAAGGGCUCGUAGGUGGUUUGUCGCGUCGUCUGUGAAAUUCCGAGGCUUAACUCCGGGCGUGCAGGCGAUACGGGCAUAACUUGAGUACUGUAGGGGUAACUGGAAUUCCUGGUGUAGCGAUGAAAUGCGCAGAUAUCAGGAGGAACACCGAUGGCGAAGGCAGGUUACUGGGCAGUUACUGACGCUAAGGAGCGAAAGCAUGGGUAGCGAACAGG